rnacentral:rRNA from 1 species
CCCUUAGAUGUCCUGGGCUGCACGCGCGCUACACUGACGAACUCAACGAGCUUAUCACCUUGGCAGAGAUGUCUGGGUAAUCUUUUGAAAGUUCGUCGUGCUGGGGAUAGAUGAUUGUAAUUAUUGCUCUUCAACGAGGAAUUCCUAGUAAGCGUGAGUCAUCAGCUCGCGUUGAUUACGUCCCUGCCCUUUGUACACACCGCCCGUCGCUACUACCGAUUGAAUGGCUUAGUGAGCCUUUGGGAUUGGCAGCCAACACCGGCAACGGUAGCUGGCCGCCGAAAACUUAUGCAAACUUGGUCAUUUAGAGGAAGUAAAAGUCGUAACA